rnacentral:rRNA from 1 species
CCUACGGGAGGCAGCAGUGGGGAAUAUUGCACAAUGGGGGAAACCCUGAUGCAGCGACGCCGCGUGAGUGAAGAAGUAUUUCGGUAUGUAAAGCUCUGUCAGUAGGGAAGAAAAUGACGGUACCUGACCAAGAAGCCCAGGCUAACUACGUGCCAGCAGCCGCGGGAAGACGUAGGGGGCAAGCGUUAUCCGGAUUUACUGGGUGUAAAGGGAGCGUAGACGGGAGGGCAAGUCCGGAGUGAAAGGCGGGGGCUCAAACCCCGGACUGCUCUGGAAACUGCCAGGCUGGAGUGCAGGAGAGGUAAGUGGAAUGCCUAGUGUAGCGGUGCAAUGCGUAGAUAUUACGAGGAACACCAAUGGCGAAGGCGGCUUACUGGACUGUAACUGACGUUGAGGCUCGAAAGCGUGGGGAGCAAACAGGAUUAGAUACCCUAGUAGUC